rnacentral:rRNA from 1 species
CCUACGGGUGGCAGCAGUGAGGAAUAUUGGUCAAUGGACGAGAGUCUGAACCAGCCAAGUAGCGUGAAGGAUGACUGCCCUAUGGGUUGUAAACUUCUUUUAUAUGGGAAUAAAAUGUUCCACGUGUGGGAUUUUGUAUGUACCAUAUGAAUAAGGAUCGGCUAACUCCGUGCCAGCAGCCGCGGUAAUACGGAGGAUCCGCGCGUUAUCCGGAUUUAUUGGGUUUAAAGGGAGCGUAGGUGGAUUGUUAAGUCAGUUGUGAAAGUUUGCGGCUCAACCGUAAAAUUGCAGUUGAAACUGGCAGUCUUGAGUACAGUAGAGGUGGGCGGAAUUCGUGGUGUAGCGGUGAAAUGCUUAGAUAUCACGAAGAACUCCGAUUGCGAAGGCAGUUCACUGGACUGCAACUGACACUGAGGCUCGAAAGUGUGGGUAUCAAACAGGAGUAGAGACCCUAGUAGUC